rnacentral:rRNA from 1 species
GGGCCCGCACAAGCGGUGGAGCAUGUGGUUCAAUUCGACGCAACGCGAAGAACCUUACCCAGGCUUGAACUGCAGGUGACAUCCUACGAAAGUAGGCUUCCGCAAGGACACCUGUAGAGGUGCUGCAUGGCUGUCGUCAGCUCGUGUCGUGAGAUGUUGGGUUAAGUCCCGCAACGAGCGCAACCCUUGUCUUCUGUUGCCAUCGGGUUAUGCCGGGCACUCUGAAGAGACUGCCGGUGACAAACCGGAGGAAGGUGGGGAUGACGUCAAGUCAGCAUGGCCUUUAUGUCUGGGGCCACACACGUGCUACAAUGGCCGGUACAAACCGUCGCGAUCUCGCGAGAGGGAGCUAAUCGGAGAAAGCCGGUCUCAGUUCGGAUUGUAGGCUGCAACUCGCCUGCAUGAAGUUGGAAUCGCUAGUAAUCGCGGAUCAGCACGCCGCGGUGAAUACGUUCCCGGGCCUU